rnacentral:rRNA from 1 species
AUUGAACGCUGGCGGCAGGCUUAACACAUGCAAGUCGAGCGGGGUGAUGGUGCUUGCACUAUCACUUAGCGGCGGACGGGUGAGUAAUGCUUAGGAAUCUGCCUAUUAGUGGGGGACAACAUCUCGAAAGGGAUGCUAAUACCGCAUACGUCCUACGGGAGAAAGCAGGGGAUCACUUGUGACCUUGCGCUAAUAGAUGAGCCUAAGUCGGAUUAGCUAGUUGGUGGGGUAAAGGCCUACCAAGGCGACGAUCUGUAGCGGGUCUGAGAGGAUGAGCCGCCACACUGGGACUGAGACACGGCCCAGACUCCUACGGGAGGCAGCAGUGGGGAAUAUUGGACAAUGGGGGGAACCCUGAUCUAGCCAUGCCGCGUGUGUAAAGAAGGCCUUACGGUUGUAAAGCACUUUAAGCGAGGAGGAGGCUCUUUUGGUUAAUACCCAAGAUGAGUGGACGUUACUCGCAGAAUAAGCACCGGCUAACUCUGUGCCAGCCGCCGCAGUAA